GAGCUUGCUYCUCUGAUUUAGCGGCGGACGGGUGAGUAACACGUGGGCAACCUGCCCUGUAGACUGGGAUAACUUCGGGAAACCGGAGCUAAUACCGGAUAAUUCUUUUAGCCUCAUGGCUUUAAGCUAAAAGGCGCUUCGGCGUCACUACAGGAUGGGCCCGCGGUGCAUUAGCUAGUUGGUGGGGUAACGGCCUACCAAGGCAACGAUGCAUAGCCGACCUGAGAGGGUGAUCGGCCACAUUGGGACUGAGACACGGCCCAAACUCCUACGGGAGGCAGCAGUAGGGAAUCUUCCACAAUGGACGAAAGUCUGAUGGAGCAACGCCGCGUGAGUGAUGAAGGUUUUCGGAUCGUAAAACUCUGUUGUAAGGGAAGAACAAGUGCGUUAGGUAAUGAACGCACCUUGACGGUACCUUAUUAGAAAGCCACGGCUAACUACGUGCCAGCAGCCGCGGUAAUACGUAGGUGGCAAGCGUUGUCCGGAUUUAUU
rnacentral:rRNA from 1 species